GACGAACGCUGGCGGCGUGCUUAACACAUGCAAGUCGAACGAGACGAUUUAGAAGCUUGCUUUUAUUGAGUCGAGUGGCAAACGGGUGAGUAACGCGUAGACAACCUGCCGCAAAGAUGGGGACAACAGUCCGAAAGGACUGCUAAUACCGAAUGUUGUAUCUCCUCCGCAUGGAAGAGAUAUUAAAGAUGGCCUCUACUUGUAAGCUAUCGCUUUGCGAUGGGUCUGCGUCUGAUUAGCUAGUUGGUGGGGCAACGGCCUACCAAGGCGACGAUCAGUAGCCGGUCUGGAGAGGAUGGAAACCGGCCACAUUGGAACUGAGACACGGUCCAGACUCCUACGGGA
rnacentral:rRNA from 1 species